rnacentral:rRNA from 1 species
UACGGAGGGUGCAAGCGUUAUCCGGAUUCACUGGGUUUAAAGGGCUCGUAGGUGGCCAACUAAGUCAGACGUGAAAUCCCUCGGCUUAACUGGGGAACUGCGUCUGAUACUGGAUGGCUCGAGUGUGGGAGAGGAAUGCGGAAUUCCAGGUGUAGCGGUGAAAUGCGUAGAUAUCUGGAGGAACACCGGUGGCGAAGGCGGCAUUCUGGACCAUAACUGACACUGAGAGACGAAAGCCAGGGGAGCAAACGGG